rnacentral:lncRNA from 1 species
CUUGCUACAGCGUUGAGCUGGUCGAGUGUUUGGAACGAUAUUGAAGGGUUUCACAAAGGAGGAUAUGGCUGCAGCUAACAUUUCAAUGCUACUCAUCGUAUUGCUUGUGAGCUUUUGUAAAGAAAGCAUCGAAGCCGGUGGAUGGAGAGAAGACAAAAAUCCGGACAGACCACUGACUCGCGCACUUGCGCAGUAUGUCUACGUCAAUAACAAACCCAAUAGCACUGUAGAUGAACACUUCAUAUAUAACGUAACUCAAGCCAGAUGGAAGGUUGAUGGAGGAAUAAAGAUGAACCUUGGAUUCAUCGUUUUCCGCUGAGCUGAGAUGCUCGAAAAAUGUAUCACCAUGGUUGCCGUGCUCCCACCUGGCACUCCUCGAAGGAGAGGGAUCGUCAACAAGUUUUGGUGCCGACGAGUUUUUUGAGAUUCGCUUUACGGAAGGAUAUGAAGAACACUCGUUUGUCUGCAAGCCAACGUGAUUUACGUUAAAGUAAUUCAUGUCUAACCGAAAGCCGCAGAAUAAAAGACAAGUAGAUUUAUCUGCAGGGACCACAAAUUACUUGU